GAAAGCGAGUCUGAAUAGGGCGUUUAGUAUUUGGUCGUAGACCCGAAACCAGGUGAUCUACCCUUGGUCAGGUUGAAGUUCAGGUAACACUGAAUGGAGGACCGAACCGACUUACGUUGAAAAGUGAGCGGAUGAACUGAGGGUAGCGGAGAAAUUCCAAUCGAACCUGGAGAUAGCUGGUUCUCUCCGAAAUAGCUUUAGGGCUAGCCUCAAGUGAUGAUUAUUGGAGGUAGAGCACUGUUUGGACGAGGGGCCCCUCUCGGGUUACCGAAUUCAGACAAACUCCGAAUGCCAAUUAAUUUAACUUGGGAGUCAGAACAUGGGUGAUAAGGUCCGUGUUCGAAAGGGAAACAGCCCAGACCACCAGCUAAGGUCCCAAAAUAUAUGUUAAGUGGAAAAGGAUGUGGCGUUGCCCAGACAACUAGGAUGUUGGCUUAGAAGCAGCCAUCAUUUAAAGAGUGCGUAAUAGCUCACUAGUCGAGUGACACUGCGCCGAAAAUGUACCGGGGCUAAACAUAUUACCGAAGCUGUGGAUUGUCCUUUGGACAAUGGUAGGAGAGCGUUCUAAGGGCGUUGAAGCAUGAUCGUAAGGACAUGUGGAGCGCUUAGAAGUGAGAAUGCCGGUGUGAGUAGCGAAAGACGGGUGAGAAUCCCGUCCACCGAUUGACUAAGGUUUCCAGAGGAAGGCUCGUCCGCUCUGGGUUAGUCGGGUCCUAAGCUGAGGCCGACAGGCGUAGGCGAUGGAUAACAGGUUGAUAUUCCUGUACCACCUAUA
rnacentral:rRNA from 1 species